GUAGGUGGCAAGCGUUGUCCGGAAUUAUUGGGCGUAAAGCGCGCGCAGGCGGUUCUUUAAGUCUGAUGUGAAAGCCCACGGCUCAACCGUGGAGGGUCAUUGGAAACUGGAGAACUUGAGUACAGAAGAGGAAAGCGGAAUUCCACGCGUAGCGGUGAAAUGCGUAGAGAUGUGGAGGAACACCAGUGACGAAGGCGGCUUUCUGGUCUGUAACUGACGCUGAGGCGCGAAAGCGUGGGGGAGCAAACAGGAUUAGAUACCCUGGUAGUCCACGCCGUAAACGAUGAGUGCUAAGUGUUAGGGGGUUUCCGCCCCUUAGUGCUGCAGCUAACGCAUUAAGCACUCCGCCUGGGAGUACGGCCGCAAGGCUG
rnacentral:rRNA from 1 species